rnacentral:rRNA from 1 species
UAGUCUACGCCGUAAACGAUGGAUACUAGUUGUUUGGCCUUCGGGCUGAGUGACUAAGCGAAAGUGAUAAGUAUCCCACCUGGGGAGUACGUUCGCAUGAAUGAAACUCAAAGGAAUUGACGGGGGCCCGCACAAGCGGUGGAGCAUGUGGUUUAAUUCGAUGAUACGCGAGGAACCUUACCAGGGCUUAAAUGUAAGUUGCAUGAUUUAGAGAUAGAUCUUUCUUCGGACUACUUACAAGGUGCUGCAUGGUUGUCGUCAGCUCGUGCCGUGAGGUGUCAGGUUAAGUCCUAUAACGAGCGCAACCCCUACCGUUAGUUGCCAGCAUGUUAUGAUGGGGACUCUAGCGGGACUGCCGGUGCAAACCGAGAGGAAGGUGGGGAUGACGUCAAAUCAUCACGGCCCUUACGUCCUGGGCUACACACGUGCUACAAUGGUAACGACAGAGGGCAGCCACCCCGCGAGGGGGAGCGAAUCCUUAAACGUUAUCUCAGUUCGGAUCGGAGUCUGCAA